rnacentral:rRNA from 1 species
CAUAUCGCAGCCUCCCACGUCCUUCAUCGGCUCCUGGUGCCAAGACAUCCACCGUGCGCCCUUAAUAACUUGGCCACAAAGAUAAAGAUGCUCGCGUCCACUGUGCAGUUCUCAAACUACGAACGGAAACCAGCCGCACCUGCGGGACCCACCACCAUCACAGACAGCGGUAUCCCACGACGAACCAGCCCGCAAACCUGCCUCCCACCAACCCCAAAAGGCUGGCAGAAGGCAGGAUCGUACACGAGGGCAACUCACUCCCUCACAACCCAACAGCGUACCGAUCCACCCAAACAACCCCCCCCCCAAAGAACACACAGGAACCCCGGACAACAGACCAGACCAAACAAAAACACCGUCGUCGUUCCACACCCAUGAGCACCCAGACCAACCAUCCGGCUGGUCUUCGCUCUGGACCAAACACCCUCCACUACAAAGGACCCCCAGCCAGAAAGCUCCUUAGAAAGGAGGUGAUCCAGCCGCACCUUCCGGUACGGCUACCU